ensembl:lncRNA
CCUCAAAUAACCCCGGAUGGAGAUGACCUCAAGUAACCCCAUCUCGAAAUGACCUCGAAUAACCCCAAAUGGAAGUGACCUUAAAUAACCCCAAUAGGUCCCGGAAGUCCUCCCUGAUGGAACCGGAAGUGCCCCCCCGGAAAUCCCCUUGACGAAACCGGAAGUGUACCCGGAAGUCCCCCUUGAUGUAACCGGAAGUGCCCCUAAAAGUCCCUUUAGAGCUAAUGGCUGCCCCAUAACCGGAAGUUGCCUUGAUAUAACCGGAAGUAACCCCGGAAGUCUCCAUGCCGGAACCGGAAGUAGCCCGGAAGUGCCCCCAAAGGUCCCUUUAGAGCUUCCGGUUGCCCCAUAGAAGGUCCUGGCAGCCCCAUAGAGGGUCCCAUCAGCCCCAUAGAGGGUCCCAUGGGCCCCAUAGAAGGUCCUGGCAGCCCUAUAGAAGGUCCUGGCAGCCCCAUAGAUGGACACAUCAACCCCAUAGAAGGUCCUGGCAGCCCCAUAAAUGGACCUGGCAGCCCCAUAGAUGAACCUGGCAGCCCCAUAGAAGGUCCCAUGGGCCCCAUAGGACCCAGCAGCCCCAUAGAAGGUCACAUCAGCCCCAUAGAAGGUCCUGGCAGCCCCAUAGAGGGUCCCAUGGGCCCCAUAGAUGGACCUGGCAGCCCCAUAGAGGGUCCCAUCAGCCCCAUAGAAGGUCACAUCAGCUCAUAGAAGGUCCUGGCAGCCCCAUAGAUGGACCCAGCUGCCCCAUAGAGGGUCCUGGCAGCCCCAUAGAGGGUCCCAUCAGCCCCAUAGAAAGUCCUGGCAGCCCCAUAGAGGGUCCCAUAGCCCCAUAGAGGGUCCUGGCUGCCCCAUAGAGGGUCCUGGCAGCCCCAUAGAUGGACCUGGCAGCCCUAUAGAAGGUCCUGGCUGCCCCAUAGGACCCGGCUGCCCCAUAGAGGGUCCCAUAGGCCCCAUAGAAGGUCCUGGCAGCCCAAUUGAAGGACCUGGCUGCCCCAUAGGACCCGGUUGCCCCAUAGAGGGUCCCAUAGGCCCCAUAGAAGGUCCUGGCAGCCCCAUAGAGGGUCCCAUAGCCCCAUAGAGGGUCCUGGCAGCCCCAUAGAAGGUCCUGGCAGCCCCAUAGAUGGACACAUCAACCCCAUAGAAGGUCCUGGCAGCCCCAUAGAAGGUCCUGGCAGCCCCAUAGAGGGUCCCAUAGCCCCAUAGAAUGACUUGGCAGCCCCACAGAAGGUCCUGGCAGCCCCAUAGAGUGUCCCAUGGGCCCCAGAUGGACCUGGCAGCCCCACAGAGGAAUCAGGCUGCCCCAUAGAAGGACCUGGCUGCCCCAUAGAUGGUCCUGGCUGCCACAUAGAAGGUCCUGGCAGCCCCAUAGAGGGUGCCAUAGCCCCAUAGAGGGUCCUGGCUGCCCCAUAGAAGGUCCUGGCAGCCCCAUAGAGGGUCCCAUAGCCCCAUAAGUGCCCCAUAGCCCCCCAUUAGGCGCAGUGUGCCCGUGCCCGCGCCAGCAGCUCGCUGAAGCUCUGGAAGAGCCGCUCCAACCAGUCGUGGUUCCUCAUGCAGCGCUGAACUACUUCCUCCUGCCCCACAUCCGCCAGCCCACCCUCAAUGGCCGU